rnacentral:lncRNA from 1 species
UGUGAGGCCUGUCCUUGGCAGGUGUGCCCAGCAAUGAAGGUGGGGGGGCCUGGGGGCUCCCACUCAGCCCUGUCCUGCCACCACCCAGCAGGAAGUGGAAGGCAGCCUGGCAGUCAUUUCCGGGUUUUGAAAGCAGUUUUUAAACUUAAAAGAGGCCUGCUCAGAGGGACGGCCUUUCCUCUGGAGGUGUUGGUAGGUGAACCCACACCCCAUACAGACACACCUCCACACCACAACAGACGCACAGACCCAAACACAGCCUACCAACAGCUCCUCACUCCCCACAGGCUCAAUACCUCCCACUGACAGCUACACACAGGCACACCCAAACCCACAGCAACAAACUCACACACGUGCACCUACCCACACAUAUACACACACCCCUGCAUACAGUCCCCAAGCCCCCGUCCUCUUUUAAUAUUUAUUUUUUAGAUGGACACAAUACCUUUAUUUUAUUUAGUUAUUUUUAUGUGGUGCUGAGGAUUGAACCCAGGGCCUUGCAUGUGCUAGAUGAGUGCUCUACUUCUGAGCCACAACCCCAAUCCCCCCCACUCCUUUUUUUUUGAUACCAGGGAUUGAACCCAGGAGUGCUCUACAACUAAGCCACACCCCUGCCCUUUUAAUUUUUUAUUCUGAGCCAGGGUCUUACUAAGUUGCCGAGGCUGGACUCCAACUUUUGAUCCUCCUGCCUCAGUCUCUUCAGUAGCUGGGGAUCAUAGGUGUGUGGCACUGUGAACGGCUCAACUCCCACAUCACAACAAACACACCACACCAUGACCCAAACACAUAUGAGCACCCACAGACCCCCACACCCCAAUACCUACUCAUACAAGACACACUAAUACUCACAGAUCCACACACACAUACAGACCCUGAACCCACAGAUCCUCACACCGCACAGACCCCACACACAUCAACACCUAUACACAGAAACACAGAUCCACCCACCAUCCUUCCUGCAUACACUACACACAACGGGCCACGCAGUGUUUUUCUUGAACACCUGCACACAGCCACACUGCAAACACUGGGCACCCACAUGACAAGCACCCAGAUACACACAAACACACCUCCCGCAACAGCCCUCUCCAGAGACACAUCCCUGCACACACACACACACACACACACACAC